UACGUAGGUGGCAAGCGUUGUCCGGAUUUAUUGGGUUUAAAGGGCGCGUAGGCGGUUUGGACAGUCAGAUGUGAAAUUCCUGGGCUCAACCUGGGGGCUGCAUUUGAUACGUUCGGACUAGAGUGGGGAAGAGGGUCGUGGAAUUCCCAGUGUAGAGGUGAAAUUCGUAGAUAUUGGGAAGAACACCGGUGGCGAAGGCGGCGACCUGGUCCUUGACUGACGCUGAGGCGCGAAAGCGUGGGGAGCAAACAGG
rnacentral:rRNA from 1 species